UACGUAGGUGGCAAGCGUUGUCCGGAAUUAUUGGGCGUAAAGCGCGCGCAGGUGGUUUCUUAAGUCUGAUGUGAAAGCCCACGGCUCAACCGUGGAGGGUCAUUGGAAACUGGGGAACUUGAGUGCAGGAGAGAAGAGUGGAAUUCCACGUGUAGCGGGUGAAAUGCGUAGAGAUGUGGAGGAACACCAGUGGCGAAGGCGACUCUUUGGCCUGUAACUGACACUGAGGCGCGAAAGCGUGGGGAGCAAACAGG
rnacentral:rRNA from 1 species